CGUCAAAAGGAAAACAUGUUGACGGCUGACUGUCAGCCAUGGUGGUUAAUCAUUUAUGAUGGUUAACGGGUGAAAUGUUUUUGAAAUACGGUUAUGUAACGUGAGGGUGAAAAAUAAGUACUCCUCAGCCUUGCGUGAGUCACCAGUAUACACGCAGUCUCUCACGGAGGAUUUCUGUGUCAAUCGUCGGGAGAAGAAUAGGCACAAUCCAAUUAGUGUAGUUAAAGAGACGCCCUGAAAAGAAACUAGGACGAUGUGUAACAAACUGAAGGAUUACAGACCUGCUGACACUGCGUGACCUCAACUAUCAGGAGAAGAAUUGGCCUCCUAAGAAGGAUGAGACACGAGGCGGGGGAGGUUAUAAAUGAAUGUCAAGGAAGGAUCAGAGGACGAAUCAGACGGCACUCAACACAUUAAACCCAGGAAGGUGUUGUCCUCCUGCCUCGCACCGGGCAUCUAACACACAAGAGACCAGCUUGAAAAGCAGAACCAGCCAUGGAAGCAGCUGCCCAGACCGCGACGACCACCACAGCCUUCGACCGGGACUCAUUCGCCAAGAAAGCCUUGAGGGCCACCACCAGAGGGGCUUCAUCUCAUUUCGUGGGGAGCUCCAUUAUCAUCCUGUCCUCCUUCGCCGUGUCCACUCUGGCUAUGAACUGUGGGAAAAAGAUCCACGAGUCUCGGCACAAACCCAACAUCAACUGACGACGGGCUGCAGGUGGACGGUGCAUCUUUCUCGAUUGUGAUAUCAUCUUGUAAAUAAUACUUCAUUGCUUAGUGUGGACACAAGGAGAGGCAGAGUUGUCACUUCAAAACAGCAACUGCAAAGGAUUUGCUGCAAAAUUUGGCAUCCAUCCAAAAUCAAGACCAGCACAACGCCUUAACACCUUGCAUCGAAGCGAACCUUAUGUCUUCAUAUCUUCAUGUCUCAUCCUUUAAAUUUGUCUGUAAAUACAACAGCUCUUUAGUUGUGUUUUUCAUGCUUGUUAGUCAGAAAAGCGAGACUGAUCUCAAAGAUCUAAAUGUCUUUGUAUUGCAUUUACGAUAUGAAGCGUGUCUAACACAUGGGAGCCUAAAUCUGGCUUCAAAUGCGUAUUUACUUUAAUUAUGAACUUGCUUUUGAAAGUAAUUUGAACGAGAAUCUGAGGCUCUAUUUGAGUGAAGCAAUGUUGUUGAAUACAAGCGUCUACCAAUCAUUUGUUCUGAUUGUGCAAGAAAAGGUCUUUUUUUUUGCAUUGGCAAUAAACUUUAUUUAAAAAAUAAUCAUUUAAAAAGCUGUGCAACAUUAUACAGUAUGACCUUCCAUAAGUGAUUUGAGGGAUUUUUGGGUUGAGUAAUGUGGAUUUCCGCCUUGUAAAACAAGUCUUUGAACACUAUAGUAUAUGUAGUUUUUCAUACUGCCACUAGAGAGCACCAUUCGGAUUAAAAUAAUACUUUUUGCAA